GGGGCUGAUUCUGGAUUCGACGGGAUUUGCGAAACCCAAGGUGCAUGCCGAGGGGCGGUUGGCCUCGUAAAAAGCCGCAAAAAAUAGUCGCAAACGACGAAAACUACGCUUUAGCAGCUUAAUAACCUGCUUAGAGCCCUCUCUCCCUAGCCUCCGCUCUUAGGACGGGGAUCAAGAGAGGUCAAACCCAAAAGAGAUCGCGUGGAAGCCCUGCCUGGGGUUGAAGCGUUAAAACUUAAUCAGGCUAGUUUGUUAGUGGCGUGUCCGUCCGCAGCUGGCAAGCGAAUGUAAAGACUGACUAAGCAUGUAGUACCGAGGAUGUAGGAAUUUCGGACGCGGGUUCAACUCCCGCCAGCCAA
rnacentral:tmRNA from 1 species